CUCGGAGGAACCCAGCCCUCUGCCCAGCAGACAGAACAGCAGCUGCUCUGGGGAGGAAAACAGAUCAGGCCCGUGCCAAGGCAAACUGCCCAAAGCGGGGUGGGGGGGGGAGCUUCCUGUCCCUGCCAGUGGGCACGGGGGGUGACAGACAAGGCCAGACAGCCAGGGUUGGGGACCUUGGGCUGGGAACCCAGCAGAUGUGUCUCCCCAACAUCCGGGCCCCCCAUCUCACCAGAGCACCGGUGGGUGCAGCUGUCCCAGCUUAUCAUACCCCCCUCCCCUCCCCCAAACACCUGUCACAGCUCCCCGGGAGUGAGGAGGAAGUGAAGGCUGAGGGGUCACUGGGAAGGACCCAGGCCUGGCAAAGAGGAAACAAAGAGCCCAUGCUUUGGUGAGGGAGGGGAUGCCCACCACCCUGCCACACCCUCCCCAGGAAGCCCCUAUCCUGUUUGUAGUCAGCUGCAUUCCAGGGCUGGGCUAGGGUAGGCAGGCAGCACCGGGCAAACCCACUCCUCCACCCUGCCCCCCGGGGCCUGAGUCACCGUCUGAACAACCAGGGAGUCAUGGGGGUGGAGAAGCAGAGCCCAGAAAGCGGGCUAGCCUGCACGCACGCCAAGAUGGAGCUCCAGGCUAGCCCACAGAACAGCCCAGCCGCAGCCGUCCUACCAGACCAGCACCUUGUAACCACAGUCUAACCCAGCGGGCACCAGGCGAUUGUGAGUGCCACGGGGCUGAGGCCUGCGCCGACCUGGUCUGCUGGUGCUACCAGGCUUGAACAGUCUUCAAAUCCACUGCUAUUAGGCAAAUUACCUGGCUCCCGCUGAACUCCAGCACCUAGAACUAUGUCACACUCGUAGUAGGCCGCUGCAUUGGUUGAACAAAUGAUUUUGAAAGAAUGAAUGUCUUCCUCUGUGCCUGCAUUUCCUCAGAAGGCUGUAACAAAGAUUAAAUAGGAAAAUUCGUGGAAAGUUCAAUUACUA
rnacentral:lncRNA from 1 species